UACGUAGGGUGCGAGCGUUAAUCGGAAUUACUGGGCGUAAAGCGUGCGCAGGCGGUUUGUUAAGACAGAUGUGAAAUCCCCGGGCUUAACCUGGGAAUUGCGCUUGUGACUGGCGAGCUGGAGUGUGGCAGAGGGAGGUGGAAUUCCACGUGUAGCAGUGAAAUGCGUAGAGAUGUGGAGGAACACCGAUGGCGAAGGCAGCCCUCCUGGGCCAGCACUGACGCUCAUGCACGAAAGCGUGGGGAGCAAACAGG
rnacentral:rRNA from 1 species